rnacentral:hammerhead_ribozyme from 1 species
GCAUUGCUGACGAGUCCCAACUAGGCCGAAACAGCUGUCCAGUGU